rnacentral:lncRNA from 1 species
CUUCCUUUUGACCAUCUAUCUGCUGGAUGUUCUAGCUAUGCAUUGUUGGCUGAGACCUUCAUAGCACAUGCUACUUGGUACUUAUCGUGAUACUUGUCUGUGUUCUAUGGUCUCUUGACCUAUGUUUCAUGUUCAUGCAUUGCAAUAUCUCAAUAGUUUUUCUGUUCUUUCAGUUGAUUGUUGACCUAUGUUUCAUGUUCAGGCAUUGCAAUAUCUCAUAGUUUGUAUGUUCUUUCUUUUGAUUGUUGAAUAUAUUAUUUGGCUUAACCAAUCUGUGCCAUUUAGGACUGUCAUCUCCUUAUCUCAGCC